GCCUGGGUGGCUCAGUCGGUUGAGUGUCCGACUUCGACUCAGGUCAUGAUCUCACAGUUCACGGGUUCGAGCCCCGCAUCGGGCU
rnacentral:tRNA from 1 species